GUAGUCAUAUGCUUGUCUCAAAGAUUAAGCCAUGCAUGUCUAAGUAUAAGCAAUUAUACAGCGAAACUGCGAAUGGCUCAUUAAAUCAGUUAUCGUUUAUUUGAUAGUGCCACAUUCCAUGGAUAACCGUGGUAAUUCUAGAGCUAAUACAUGCACAAAACCGCGACUUCGGGAGCGGUGUAUUUAUUAGAUUCAAAACCAAUGCCCUCCGGGGCUCACUGGUGAUUCAUAAUAACUUCUCGAAUCGCAUGGCCUUGCGCCGGCGAUGGCUCAUUCAAAUUUCUGCCCUAUCAACUUUCGACUUUAGUGUAGUGGACUAAAGUGGUUGCAACGGGUAACGGAGGGUUAGGGCUCGACCCCGGAGAAGGGGCCUGAGAAACGGCUACUACAUCCAAGGAAGGCAGCAGGCGCGCAAAUUACCCAAUCCCGACACGGGGAGGUAGUGACAAUAAAUACUGAUACAGGGCUCUUUCGGGUCCUGUAAUCGGAAUGAGUACAAUUUAAAUCCCUUAACGAGGAACAAUUGGAGGGCAAGUCUGGUGCCAGCAGCCGCGGUAAUUCCAGCUCCAAUAGCGUAUAUUAAAGUUGUU
rnacentral:rRNA from 1 species